CUUAAAUUGAAGAGUUUGAUCAUGGCUCAGAUUGAACGCUGGCGGCAGGCCUAACACAUGCAAGUCGAGCGGAAACGAGUUAUCUGAACCUUCGGGGAACGAUAACGGCGUCGAGCGGCGGACGGGUGAGUAAUGCCUAGGAAAUUGCCCUGAUGUGGGGGAUAACCAUUGGAAACGAUGGCUAAUACCGCAUGAUGCCUACGGGC
rnacentral:rRNA from 1 species